GAGGGUAUAGCUCAGUGGUAGAGUGCAUGCUAAGCAUGCAUGAGGUCCUAGGUUCAAUCCCCAGUACCUCCA
rfam:Camelus ferus unplaced genomic scaffold scaffold2018, whole genome shotgun sequence.